AGUGAACGCUGGCGGUAGGCCUAACACAUGCAAGUCGAACGGCAGCACAGUAAGAGCUUGCUCUUACGGGUGGCGAGUGGCGGACGGGUGAGGAAUACAUCGGAAUCUACUUUUUCGUGGGGGAUAACGUAGGGAAACUUACGCUAAUACCGCAUACGACCUACGGGUGAAAGCAGGGGAUCUUCGGACCUUGCGCGAUUGAAUGAGCCGAUGUCGGAUUAGCUAGUUGGCGGGGUAAAGGCCCACCAAGGCGACGAUCCGUAGCUGGUCUGAGAGGAUGAUCAGCCACACUGGAACUGAGACACGGUCCAGACUCCUACGGGAGGCAGCAGUGGGGAAUAUUGGACAAUGGGCGCAAGCCUGAUCCGGCCAUACCGCGUGGGUGAAGAAGGCCUUCGGGUUAUAAAGCCCUUUUGUUGGGAAAGAAAAGCAGCAGGUUAAUACCCCGCUGUUCUGACGGUACCCAAAGAAUAAGCACCGGCUAACUUCGUG
rnacentral:rRNA from 1 species